rnacentral:tRNA from 1 species
GAAGGGGGUCUAGAACACAAAGAACUGCUAAUUCCUCGCCCUGGGGUUAAACCCCCCAGACCCU